GUUUUAUUUAUUUCCUUUUUCUUAUUUUUCCUUUUCCUAUGUCUUUUCUUCGUGCCCUAUUCUUCUUCCACGCCGAAACCCGUCUUCCUCUUCUUCGUUGAGCUCGCGACACCAACCUUUCUUCUUCUUUUUCCCUCGCCGAGCCCGAACUUCUCUCCCGUUUCCCUCUUACGCCGCCGCCACCUACUCCUGAGCCUUCACCUCCUCGCGAUCUCUCCCCCGUGCCCUAAUUUUUCCUUCCGAUCUUCUGUCGCAUCGACGUCGCCGCACGGAGCAGCGCCGAUGUCGUACAACCGACGCCUCACUGAAGCUUCCUCUCCCCUACCGACGUCUCAUCGUCGCGAAGGUCCUCACCGCGUCAAUCGCCACAGAGAGCACCGCCGGAACCAGCCUCACAUCUCUGCCCUAGAGCGUCGUCACCUCCUUUCUGCCCUUUUUCGAUCUUGAGCUUUCGUGCCGGCACAGAGCCACCAUCGUGUACCCUAGCGACAUUGUUUCCACCCGAGGGCAAGGUUUUCUUCAACUCAGUUGCGGGACUUUAUGGCGUCAUAGAUCACCGGUGCCGGCCUAGGCGUAACUGUUAGACGCCACCCAUCAAGCCAUGAGAAGGAACAGUGUGCCCUCUCCACCUCUGUUUUUCCCUUGUUACUGAACAUAAUUCUCUUUGUUGGUCUGAAUUGUAAUCAACCGAUGUUGUUCUCCAUUUUCAGGGAGUUGCAGGUUCAAUCAGUAGCAUUACUGCUCUGUUGAUUCGGGUUGGCAAGGGUUGAGUUGGAGGUAGAGGUAUAUGGAGUCGCUUGGAGUAUCUUGUCUGUCAGUUCCCACGUCACAUCAGAAGACCCGUAUAUUGGUUUCGUUUGUGCUUUAUUUUGUUUGUGUAUUAAGUGCACUUUGCAUUGUAUGUUCCGGUUUUGUUUCUGGAGUAUUCUUAUGUGGUAUUUUGUGUUGUUUGUUAUGGUGUGUAAGCCUAGCCGGCUAGCAGUCUUAUUUUUUAUUUGUAUUGGUUUCUAUCA